GACGAACGCUGGCGGCGUGCCUAAUACAUGCAAGUAGAACGCUGAAGGAGGAGCUUGCUUCUCCGGAUGAGUUGCGAACGGGUGAGUAACGCGUAGGUAACCUGCCUGGUAGCGGGGGAUAACUAUUGGAAACGAUAGCUAAUACCGCAUAAGAGUAGAUGUUGCAUGAUAUUUGCUUAAAAGGUGCAAUUGCAUCACUACCAGAUGGACCUGCGUUGUAUUAGCUAGUUGGUGGGGUAACGGCUCACCAAGGCGACGAUACAUAGCCGACCUGAGAGGGUGAUCGGCCACACUGGGACUGAGACACGGCCCAGACUCCUGCGGGAGGCAGCAGUAGGGAAUCUUCGGCAAUGGACGGAAGUCUGACCGAGCAACGCCGCGUGAGUGAAGAAGGUUUUCGGAUCGUAAAGCUCUGUUGUAAGAGAAGAACGAGUGUGAGAGUGGAAAGUUCACACUGUGACGGUAUCUUACCAGAAAGGGACGGCUAACUACGUGCCAGCAGCCGCGGUAAUACGUAGGUCCCGAGCGUUGUCCGGAUUUAUUGGGCGUAAAGCGAGCGCAGGCGGUUAGAUAAGUCUGAAGUUAAAGGCUGUGGCUUAACCAUAGUACGCUUUGGAAACUGUUUAACUUGAGUGCAAGAGGGGAGAGUGGAAUUCCAUGUGUAGCGGUGAAAUGCGUAGAUAUAUGGAGGAACACCGGUGGCGAAAGCGGCUCUCUGGCUUGUAACUGACGCUGAGGCUCGAAAGCGUGGGGAGCAAACAGG
rnacentral:rRNA from 1 species